CUCGCAUUGAAUAUUGUAAAAAAGCUAUAAAAUGAAUUAAAAAAAUACUGUAUACUGUAUAAAACAUAUUAUUUUGCAUAUUGAAUAAAAUGAAAGUGUAAAUUUUACUUCACAAUAAUGAAAAUAUACAACAAUUAGUUGCAUAUUUUAAAUCACAAGCAAGUAGAAAAUAAAAGAAGAAACAAACCUACACAUUGUAGUCUUGAGGUAGUAUUAAAUGUUAUGAGAUUUUGUGGAAAUUUAUUUCCAAAGCAAAAAGUCCGUGUAGAAAAGUAGAAGAAAUAUUAAUUAUAAAGAAUACAAAAAAUCAAAGCAAAAAAAAAAACAUCAAAUUCCAUAGACUGUGUCACGCAAAAACGGCUUUGGUUCGCCGAUUCAUCUUAGUUAUAUUCCGUAGUAUAUUCGAACAUCUAAGAAAAUGCGACAGAUCAUUAUUUUCGGUACUUUUUGCCUAAAAAUGUUUGCUGGUAUGUGACAAAGUGGAAUCAGAGUCUGCAAGACUCUGAAUGAUACCCGUGGGUGAAUAAACGGGUAUGAUACUUGCCUGAGGCUCCCUUUUGUAGCGCUGAUCCUCUCGCUCUAGGCCUUGAAGUUAUAACUUGCCAUUUCUUGCCUAUUCACGAGAUGAUGAAUUACGUUUGUGGUGCCAAAACAGCCUUGAAAAAACUGCUUACAACAUAAAGUGUGUCUUUGCACAGGAAGAAUCUUUAACUCCUGAUGGUAGUGGUCCAUAUAUCAGAGCUUUGCGGAGAAAACAUAGGUGUAUAAAUCCGGUGCAAAUCUCCUAGAAGCAAUUGACUCCCAGAAUUGUACGGUAAAUCCCAGAAAGAAAGAUAACAAAAGAAAAUGCCAAGAUUAAGGUUUAUGUCGAAUAAGUUUAUUGGGUUUCUGCUGCUUACCGCCUCUGAUGUUGUUGCAUAAGUGCAGAAUUGAGGCCUGGCAAAGAGACGAACUAGUUUAACAAUGUUUUUCAAUUAAACUAUUUAAGUGAAAGUUAAAAAAAGGGAACUCAGCUUUUACAACUAAAGUUAGCUCUAUUAUUUACUGGCUAAAACUUAAAGUUUAAGUUCGGCAAUGACCUGUUGAACUAGUUCCAACAUAGGUGAACUUCCAACUUGUAAUAAUAGCAUUCUGGCAGUUCUGAAUCCUAUUCCACUACUGGGUCAGUCCACACUGGUCAUGCAUACAUAGUUUAUCCGGCAGGUCAAUUGUAUUAUAUCAUUGUCUGGCCUAAAAGUGCUGCAAGCCAGCGAAUUGAGGACUUUGUUUCUACUCUUGGCCUUAUAACAGUUCUAGUGGCUUGUGCGGAGGACUUGUUGAGCUUGUCAAAUAUUUAUUUCUUUAUUUCUUAAUAGUAAUACAUAAGCCUCCUCGGCCAAAAAAACGUAUUACAACGAUAUAUAUUCCUAAAUAAACAUUAAAAAAUUAAAUACUUCACAGUUACAUAAAGAUGUAAGAUUCUUAGCCUAAUUUUAAUUGGGCAAGAUUAUGCAAAAAUUUAAACUGUUGGAUUUUUUAAUAAGUCCAAUGUGAGCAAUACAAAAAGAUUCAAGCAACAACACUAAGUUUGAUCUGUAGAAUAUAAGUUAAUAAGUUUUAAGCGAACCAUGUAUUUUGUGAUAUUUGGUGGUCCGAAUUGUAACUCCAUUGACUCCCACUGUCAGUUUCCACCGUUCAUCUAAUAAACAAUGUGGAUAACAA